rnacentral:rRNA from 1 species
AGCUCCAAUAGCGUAUAUUAAAGUUGUUGCAGUUAAAAAGCUCGUAGUUGGAUUUCUGGGUCUUGACGGCGGUUCGCCUUGUGUGAUACUAGCUGUUGGGGCUCAUCCUCUCGAAGACGCGUCGUGUCCUUCACUGGAUGCGGCGUGGACUCGGGACUUUUACUUUGAAAAAAUUAGAGUGUUCAAAGCAGGCUUACGCUUGAAUACUUCAGCAUGGAAUAAUGGAAUAGGACCUCGGUCUUAUUUUGUUGGUUUCUAAGACCGAAGUAAUGAUUAAAAGGGACAGUUGGGGGCAUUAGUAUUUCAUUGUCAGAGGUGAAAUUCUUAGAUUUAUGAAAGACUAACUACUGCGAAAGCAUUUGCCAAGGAUGUUUUCAUUAAUCAAGAACGAAAGUACGCA